UGAGCGGCGGACGGGUGAGUAACGCGUGGUAACCUACCUCAUACAGGGGGAUAACAGUUGGAAACGGCUGCUAAUACCGCAUAAGCGCACAGUACCGCAUGGUACCGUGUGAAAAACUCCGGUGGUAUGAGAUGGACCCGCGUCUGAUUAGCUAGUUGGUGGGGUAACGGCCUACCAAGGCGACGAUCAGUAGCCGACCUGAGAGGGUGACCGGCCACAUUGGGACUGAGACACGGCCCAA
rnacentral:rRNA from 1 species